GAUAAUUUUUGUCUUGUUAUGACUAGUCCCACGAUGUUCUGGAAUAUUCCAGAAAGCACUAGAAUAUUACAGAAUAAUGCAGAAUGUUAUA